rnacentral:rRNA from 1 species
UACGUAGGGUGCAAGCGUUGUCCGGAAUUAUUGGGCGUAAAGAGCUCGUAGGCGGUUCGUCGCGUCGGCUGUGAAAACCUGAGGCUCAACCUCAGGCCUGCAGUCGAUACGGGCGGACUUGAGUACUGCAGGGGAGACUGGAAUUCCUGGUGUAGCGGUGAAAUGCGCAGAUAUCAGGAAGAACACCGGUGGCGAAGGCGGCUCUCUGGGCCUUACCUGACGCUGAGGAGCGAAAGCGUGGGGAGCAAACAGG